AUUGAACGCUGGCGGCAGGCCUAACACAUGCAAGUCGAGCGGAUGAAGGGAGCUUGCUCCUGGAUUCAGCGGCGGACGGGUGAGUAAUGCCUAGGAAUCUGCCUGGUAGUGGGGGAUAACGUCCGGAAACGGGCGCUAAUACCGCAUACGUCCUGAGGGAGAAAGUGUGGGAUCUUCGCACCUCACGCUAUCAGAUGACCCUAGGUCCGAUUAGCUAGUUGGUGGGGUAAAGGCCUACCCAGGCGACGAUCCGUAACUGGUCUGAGAGGAUGAUCAGUCACACUGGAACUGGGACACGGUCAAGACUCCUACGGGAGGCAGCAGUGGGGAAGAUUGGACAAUGGGCGAAAGCCUGAUCCAGCCAUGCCGCGUGUGUGAAGAAGGUCUUCGGAUUGUAAAGCACUUUAAGUUGGGAGGAAGGGCAGUAAGUUAAUACCGUGCUGUUUUGACGUUACCAACAGAAUAAGCACCGGCUAACUUCGUG
rnacentral:rRNA from 1 species